GGGGAUGUAGCUGAAGUGGUAGAGCGCUCGCUUUGCAUGCGAGAGGCACGGGGUUCGAUCCCGCGCAUCUCCA
rnacentral:tRNA from 1 species